rnacentral:rRNA from 1 species
AUUGAACGCUGGCGGCAGGCUUAACACAUGCAAGUCGAGCGGGGUGAUGGUGCUUGCACUAUCACCUAGCGGCGGACGGGUGAGUAAUGCUUAGGAAUCUGCCUAUUAGUGGGGGACAGCAUUUCGAAAGGAAUGCUAAUACCGCAUACGUCCUACGGGAGAAAGCAGGGGAUCUUCGGACCUUGCGCUAAUAGAUGAGCCUAAGUCGGAUUAGCUAGUUGGUGGGGUAAAGGCCUACCAAGGCGACGAUCUGUAGCGGGUCUGAGAGGAUGAUCCGCCACACUGGGACUGAGACACGGCCCAGACUCCUACGGGAGGCAGCAGUGGGGAAUAUUGGACAAUGGGCGCAAGCCUGAUCCAGCCAUGCCGCGUGUGUGAAGAAGGCCUUAUGGUUGUAAAGCACUUUAAGCGAGGAGGAGGCUACUUUAGAUAAUACCUAGAGAUAGUGGACGUUACUCGCAGAAUAAGCACCGGCUAACUCUGUGCCAGCCGCCGCAGUAAGAC